AAAACAUGUAGAGAACUUCAAUCAGUCGUUACCGUUGUUUUACAGCAGACAGUCAAUAAUUUCUGUAGUGCUGAUCAACAAUAUUUAUUUCUUUGAAAUCCGAAUCUUUGCUCAACCAACCGAACGACAGAAACAAGUUGCCUUAUUUGUUUGUAGAAUUCAAUCUGACAACAAAAAUAGAGAAUUCAUACACGAAGCUUUCUAAAGUAAGACAACAACGUGUGUGCGUAUGUUGAAUAAAAAAAGUAAAUAAGAAUACCGCACAAAAAAAGGUGUAAUGAACUAGAUACCCUUGAAUGUUUGAACUGAAUUCCAUGGAACAGUAGUUCAAAGUCAAGAAUGGAGCCAGAUUACUAUAUUACGGAAGAUGGUUUGCCGAGUAUUUUGCGGACAACUGAAGAUCGGCGACUAUUGGAUCGAAGAUUGACGGACGUGAAGCAGUUUCAGUACAAAAAUCGGCUGGAUCAUGGGUCAAAUGUGGUUGAAGUAGCGAUUGAAAGACCAAUUAGUGCCAAAAGUAUUAAAAAUUUACAGAAUGAAAGACUUAAGAGGGAAAUGGAAGAGCAACGGAUGAGGGAGCAUUCUGUCAACCAAAAGACGCGACCGAAACUGUUGAGACAUCGGAGGUCAAUGAAUGACGAGCUCAGAACACCUCAAAAAACCCUCGUGAACUAGUUUUAAGACAAAAAAAUAAACAUUUUUAACUCACCUGAACAAA